rnacentral:rRNA from 1 species
GACGAACGCUGGCGGCGUGCUUAACACAUGCAAGUCGAACGGAAAGGCCCUGCUUUUGUGGGGUGCUCGAGUGGCGAACGGGUGAGUAACACGUGAGUAACCUGCCCUUGACUUUGGGAUAACUUCAGGAAACUGGCGCUAAUACCGGAUAGGAGCUCCUGCUGCAUGGUGGGGGUUGGAAAGUUUCGGCGGUUGGGGAUGGACUCGCGGCUUAUCAGCUUGUUGGUGGGGUAGUGGCUUACCAAGGCUUUGACGGGUAGCCGGCCUGAGAGGGUGACCGGCCACAUUGGGACUGAGAUACGGCCCAGACUCCUACGGGAGGCAGCAGUGGGGAAUAUGGCACAAUGGGCGGAAGCCUGAUGCAGCAACGCCGCGUGCGGGAUGACGGCCUUCGGGUUGUAAACCGCUUUCGCCUGUGACGAAGCGUGAGUGACGGUAAUGGGUAAAGAAGCACCGGCUAACUACGU